CUGGGAGCUGUAGACCGGCGCUGUUCCUAUUCGGCCAUCUUGGCUCGAAAGAGAUGUACAGGUUUUAUGUGGAUAUAAGUUUUUAUUUCCCUGGGAUAAAUGCCCAAAAUGAGAUUGUAGUGUUAUGUGGGUGGACUAUCCUUUUGCUGAGCAGGACUGAAAUAUAAAACAGAAAACCUGAGAGGGAAGAAGUAACGCUAUAUAGAAGACAAUUCAUAAUGUAAAAAGGUCUGCAUGGAAGAGGAUUGAAGAGCCAGAUGACAGAUGAGAGCCAAAAGGUUUGGAGAUGCUGGCAGAAGACCCAAGACUCCUGGAUCAGAGACAAAAGAUUUAUUACUCACAGCACAGCAAACAGUGAACAAUGGUCAAAAACUGGAGCCAGGAUCUGUCUACUGUAUUCGUGAUAAGUUGGGUAAUUUUUAUUUUGUUUUGGUUAAAUAAUACCUCCAAAUAAUGAAUAUUGAAUAAAAUAUAAAACUAUUUUGAAUAAAAU
rnacentral:lncRNA from 1 species